AUCUGCUUUCCCGCACAAGAGGACCCAGGACGCCAUGCAUGAACAGAGGUCUCCAAACAGUAGGGGGACGUGGAGAUCUGGGGAAAGUGUAGUGUAAGAAGUCCUCAGUCUCUGCUACACAACAAUCCUGAUUGGUGCAUCCUAGACUACGGAAACAAAGAAAGGAUAGACAACUGCCAUUACCAUUUCUACACAUCACUAAGACAUGGCGAACCACUUGACGAAGAUCAAGUCCUGAAACAAGAGCCUCAUCUCAAGGACAACUCCAUCAUCCCGUGUCUUUGCUUCAUUACACUAUUUGAAAGUCACCAAGUGAACAUAUGAAAAGGAAUGACCUUGCCAGGGAAUGCUAGCGUAUGAAAUGCAGCAUGCUCCUUUGAAGUGGGAAAAGUUCAUGUAAAUGAACUUGGAACUGGAGAGACCUUGAGGAAAUAGAGUGUGACCCCCUUCCCCUUGUGGCUUGUGCGAGUGUCAGAGCAGAAGGCUCUUGACCUCCCUGUAGCUCUCUUUGCCCUGUAGUUAAAUGGAGCCACCAACUGCUAAUUUAUUUUAAAGCACGUGAAGAGCCUGUGAAACUGGGUGUGUUUGGUCAGUGCAAAUAUUAAUAAAAAGUGGAAUGGUUGCAUGGAUGUCUGCGGUGAGUUUUU
rnacentral:lncRNA from 1 species